AUGGAAAUGGACUUCGCUGGGCACAGAGAAAAAACCCUCCACGCCAAAAAUCCUCCAUGCCAAAAUCCUAUGAACUUGCAGUUUUGUUGUUUAAUAAACAGAAGCCAAGGUUUUAACAGUGGCAUGUUCAAACCACCAAGGCCACUCUUGAAAAUCACAGCUGUGAUGUCCGCAAUAAAUGAACGACAGGAAAACUGGAGAUAUAUAUUCAAGCUGCCUAUUUCUUCAGUGACAACUUGUGCAGAAAAGGCAUACUACAUAAAAUGCCAGUGGAAAUUAGGAGGUCCUGUUCUGCCUAAAAUUCAUAUUUAAGGUGAUGCCAUGAGAUAAAGGUAAGCUACUGCGGUGCAUCAACAUGAAACCUUUAGGACUUGUAUUUAUGUACUUGAUACACUGUAUUUAUGUGUUAUAGCGGAUCUAAAAACAACAAAAAAGCCUUAUCUUCCUCUUUGAAUAUCGGAAGCUCAGACAACACCAGCAAGAACUACAUAGCAGUGCAUUUAAAGGUGGAGGCUUUCAUGGUGACGUAGAUGGCAGCCAAGCAGGAGGGUGCAAAGACAUGACCGCAGGCAGUGGAGAAGAGGUAGCAUUUAGGCAAAUGGUGCACUGACGCUGUCUCUUUGGCUGCACACAUACUAGCUUGCUCCUGGCCUCCUUUCUGGGGCAAGCUGGCCAAGAGGAGCCAAAGCGAUGGGAGAGGUUACUCAGGGGCUUGGUGGGGAUAACAGGAAGGAUAUGACUUGCUCUGGGUAUGGCCCCUGUGCCUGGAGCACUCCUAGCAUGACCCCAGCAGGCCCAGUGUGCCUUGUGUUGCCCUCAGCAUUACACAUUAACCCCCCUGCUCUCAUGGACAGAGACACCAUGCUCUUGUUAUUUCAGGCUUUAUGAACCAUAAAGCUACACAGAAAAAUCAUGUCUCGGGCACCAUAUGUGAUCUGGAUCCUAUAGCAGGCUGAGCCUGCUGUUGCUCCUUAAGUAGAAGGUGACCAUGGAGCAAACUUGAGCACUGGACCUCCCAUCAUCCAUGCUGCCUAGUAGGUAGCUUGCUUCUCAGCUCUGUUCUAUGUCAUUUUCCCCCAGAGGAGCCUUCAGGGAAGGAAGUCAGCCCUAAGCACUGUGCUGCAUGGCUUCAG
rnacentral:lncRNA from 1 species